UCCGGUUGAUCCUGCCGGACCUGACUGCUAUCGGAUUGAUACUAAGCCAUGCGAGUCAUUGUAGCAAUACAAGGCAUACGGCUCAGUAACGCGUAGUCAACCUAACCUAUGGACGGGAAUAACCUCGGGAAACUGAGAAUAAUGCCCGAUAGAACACUAUACCUGGAAUGGUUUGUGUUCCAAAUGAUUUAUCGCCAUAGGAUGGGACUGCGGCCUAUCAGUUUGUUGGUGAGGUAAUGGCCCACCAAGACUAUUACAGGUACGGGCUCUGAGAGGAGUAGCCCGGAGAUGGGUACUGAGACACGGACCCAGGCCCUAUGGGGCGCAGCAGGCGAGAAAACUUUGCAAUGUGCGAAAGCACGACAAGGUUAAUCCGAGUGAUUUGUGCUAAACGAAUCUUUUGUUAGUCCUAGAAACACUAACGAAUAAGGGGUGGGCAAGUUCUGGUGUCAGCCGCCGCGGUAAAACCAGCACCUCAAGUGGUCAGGAUGAUUAUUGGGCCUAAAGCAUCCGUAGCCGGCUCUGUAAGUUUUCGGUUAAAUCUGUACGCUUAACGUACAGGCUGCCGGGAAUACUGCAAAGCUAGGGAGUGGGAGAGGUAGACGGUACUCGGUAGGAAGUGGUAAAAUGCUUUGAUCUAUCGAUGACCACCUGUGGCGAAGGCGGUCUACUAGAACACGUCCGACGGUGAGGGAUGAAAGCUGGGGGAGCAAACCGGAUUAGAUACCCGGGUAGUCCCAGCUGUAAACUAUGCAAACUCAGUGAUGCAUUGGCUUGUGGCCAAUGCAGUGCUGCAGGGAAGCCGUUAAGUUUGCCGCCUGGGAAGUACGUACGCAAGUAUGAAACUUAAAGGAAUUGGCGGGGGAGCACCACAAGGGGUGAAGCCUGCGGUUCAAUUGGAUUCAACGCCGGA
rnacentral:rRNA from 1 species